UACGAGGGGUGCAAGCGUUGCUCGGAAUUAUUGGGGCGUAAAAGGGUAGGUAGGUGGUCUCAUUUGUCUCAUGUGAAUCCUUGGGCUUAACUCAAGAAGUGCGUGAGAAACGGUGAGACUGGAGUCUUGGAGAGGGUCGUGGAAUUCCCGGUGUAGCGGUGAAAUGCGUAGAGAUCGGGAGGAACACCAGAGGCGAAGGCGGCGACCUGGACAAGUACUGACACUCAACUA
rnacentral:rRNA from 1 species